ensembl:snRNA
GUGUUAUAUAAAGGUAGAGAAGGUUAGUAUUCCCCUCGCCUAGGAUGGAAGAGACUCUCAGGCCUGACAACACAAAUACAGUUGAUACCACUUACCUUGUGGCAUCUAACCAUUGUUUUAU